GGGCGAGUGCUGGAAUGGCAUACAGGUAAGUCUCAAAAACUUAUGAGGGAAACCUCGUGAGGGUUCGACUCCCUCCUCGCCCA
rfam:Candidatus Roizmanbacteria bacterium RIFCSPHIGHO2_01_FTLL_39_8 rifcsphigho2_01_scaffold_24053, whole genome shotgun sequence.